rnacentral:lncRNA from 1 species
GCUCUGGGUGCGGGGCGUGGCCAGGACUUGCAAACUGACUCGAGGAGAUCCUUAGUUCCAGAGCCACAACUGACCUGCACCUGACAGUUCUUGGGGACCUGGAGACCGUUGACCAGGCUGAGGGCUGACACAGAGCACCUCGGAAUGCCCUGUUCCAGGGUCAUGUGGCCACCGCUGCUGCUGCUGUUUCUGCUGCUUCCUGCUGCCCAUGGCGCCCCCCACCCGGCUGCGGACCUCCAGGAAAACUUUCCAAGCGUACUCGAAGGUUUCCACCGCCCUGUAGUGGGUUGGUGGGUUUGGGAAGAGAGGAGUUUGGGGACCUGCAGAAAGGGAAAGAGGCAGCGAAAUCCAAACUGAAGGAGACAGAGGCAUGUGGAGAGAAGACAACCCGUUCGCUGGCUCCCGCUGUCCUCCUGGCUCAUGAGGUGGCUUCUAUGUGGUCCAGAAGCUGGGGGCGAGGACCUGUAGCCUCAUGAAGGCCUGCCAGGCACAGGAUCCGGAGCUCCACACUCCUCCCAAAAUCCCUGGUCUCCUCCGGGGGCCCUUCAGCUGCUGAAGGGGCUGGGGUGGACACCAUUAUCCUAGCAGGGGACAUAUGUGGAACUCACCAGACCCACCUGCAGCACCAUUUCAAAAUAAAAGUAAAAUUUCAAGCUUAUUGUGUGUCG